UAGGGAAUCUUCGGCAAUGGGGGCAACCCUGACCGAGCAACGCCGCGUGAGUGAAGAAGGUUUUCGGAUCGUAAAGCUCUGUUGUAAGUCAAGAACGAGUGUGAGAGUGGAAAGUUCACACUGUGACGGUAGCUUACCAGAAAGGGACGGCUAACUACGUGCCAGCAGCCGCGGUAAUACGUAGGUCCCGAGCGUUGUCCGGAUUUAUUGGGCGUAAAGCGAGCGCAGGCGGUUAGAUAAGUCUGAAGUUAAAGGCUGUGGCUUAACCAUAGUACGCUUUGGAAACUGUUUAACUUGAGUGCAAGAGGGGAGAGUGGAAUUCCAUGUGUAGCGGUGAAAUGCGUAGAUAUAUGGAGGAACACCGGUGGCGAAAGCGGCUCUCUGGUCUGUAACUGACGCUGAGGCUCGAAAGCGUGGGGAGCGAACAGGAUUAGAUACCCUGGUAGUCCACGCCGUAAACGAUGAGUGCUAGGUGUUGGAUCCUUUCCGGGAUUCAGUGCCGCAGCUAACGCGUUAAGCACUCCGCCUGGGGAGUACGACCGCAAGGUUG
rnacentral:rRNA from 1 species